rnacentral:rRNA from 1 species
CCGCAAUGGGCGCAAGCCUGACGGAGCAAGACCGCGUGCGGGAGGACGGCCUAUUGGUUGUAAACCGCUUUUGAUAGGGAAGAAGUUCUGACGGUACCUAUCGAAUCAGCAUCGGCUAACUCCGUGCCAGCAGCCGCGGUAAUACGGAGGAUGCAAGCGUUAUCCGGAAUUAUUGGGCGUAAAGCGUCCGUAGGUGGUUGUUCAAGUCUGCUGUUAAAGCGUGCGGCUUAACCGCAUACCAGCAGUGGAAACUGGGCGACUAGAGUGCGGUAGGGGUCAGGGGAAUUCCCAGUGUAGCGGUGAAAUGCGUAGAUAUUGGGAAGAACACCGGUGGCGAAAGCGCCUGACUGGACCUGC